UGUUGCAAUGGAUGUACUAAAUGCAUCUAUCUGACGAUCUUAACCGAGGCUUACUUUCAGGGAAAUAGAGUACAAAGCACUGCUGAAUGUUAGAAGACCGGAAUGGGUGGAAAGACAUCCCAUGUUUAUGGAUCAGAACUAAAGCUAUGGAUUAUCAAGGCCUCUGACAGCUGGGACAACACUGAAAAGGGAAGACCUGGAGGAUUCGCACUUCUUCCUGGCUCCCCGUGAACGACUCUGAGAGGAGCCCUUGAGCAAGUGGACGAGCUCAGGCAUAAGGCCCCACGAGGUUCUGUCCUGUUUCAGGAAGUACCCAAAACAGUGUGACCAAGACCCCACCAGGACCACUGGACACUGCACAGCUCUCCAUGGCAUCGACCUGCACCCACCCAUCUCACCUGUACCCCACAGGCACCCCAGCCACAUCCCGCCUGCAUCCUGCUGCAGCCUGCUUGUACCCCCCCUACAACCCACAACCUAGCACACAUUUCCCUCGGGUUUCCUGGCAUGAGCCAGGUAUUGGCGCACACCCACGCGUGCCACACAUGUGAGGGGCACAGGUCAGAGGAGCACUGGUCUGGAGGAGCAGUUGCACUGCCCCUCAGCUUCCCCACCGUGACUGGAAGCUGCCUGCCCUCCUGAUUUCAGCAAGGCUCGGGCAUGGGCCGCAGCCGACUGGUCUGGUGGUGCCUCCAUGGCCUCUCCACCCUCGCAGUAGCUUUCCUGGGAGAUGGGGCUACAGCAAGUCCGGCCUGUGUCAGGCAGCUCCUGUACCCAGCAGGCCGGGU